AUGAGUGCUCGGGUGAAACUUGCUUUGAGACCAUGGCAUUUCUCCCAUAAGCAGCAACAGUGUAUCUUCUUUUGCUCAAGUGAGGGCUUUUCUCAUUUACCGCCUUCUCUUUAUGCUCUUUCAUCAGCUGUACUCUGUUGCGGUUGGCAACCCUCGCAAGCUAGCAGCCUAGCAGGUGGGCGAUCUGAUGUUGAUCUUGCAGGACUCAGGCUAGUUUCCUGUUCCCCCUUUUUAUCUUUACCACCGAUCGAUCGUUUUCUCUCUUUGCAUCGAUCACACUCUACUCUUCAGCUAAGAUGCUUUCUCUCCGUGUCGAAAGGAAAAAUGAUUCUUGUAGGAGGAGUUCUCUCUGAACAAGAAAAGAAGAGAAGAUCCUUGAGAAAAGAUUAA
rnacentral:rRNA from 1 species